UACGGAGGAUCCAAGCGUUAUCCGGAAUCAUUGGGUUUAAAGGGUCCGUAGGCGGUUUAAUAAGUCAGUGGUGAAAGCCCAUCGCUCAACGGUGGAACGGCCAUUGAUACUGUUAGACUUGAAUUAUUAGGAAGUAACUAGAAUAUGUAGUGUAGCGGUGAAAUGCUUAGAGAUUACAUGGAAUACCAAUUGCGAAGGCAGGCUUACUACUAAUGGAUUGACGCUGAUGGACGAAAGCGUGGGUAGCGAACAGG
rnacentral:rRNA from 1 species